rnacentral:rRNA from 1 species
UACAGAGGGUGCGAGCGUUGUUCGGAAUUACUGGGCGUAAAGGGCGCGUAGGUGGCCUUCUAAGUUGAACGUGAAAUCCCUGGGCUCAACCCAGGAACUGCGUCCAAGACUGGGAGGCUUGAAUCCGGGAGAGGGAUGCGGAAUUCCAGGUGUAGCGGUGAAAUGCGUAGAUAUCUGGAGGAACACCGGUGGCGAAGGCGGCAUCCUGGACCGGUAUUGACACUGAGGCGCGAAAGCCAGGGGAGCAAACGGG